AGUGAACGCUGGCGGCAGGCCUAACACAUGCAAGUCGAACGGCAGCACAGCAGAGCUUGCUCUGUGGGUGGCGAGUGGCGGACGGGUGAGGAAUACGUCGGAAUCUGCCUAUUUGUGGGGGAUAACGUAGGGAAACUCACGCUAAUACCGCAUACGCCCUACGGGGAAAGCGGAGGACCUUCGGCGUUCGCGCAGAUAGAUGAGCCGACGUCGGAGUUAGCAGUUGGCGGGUAAAGGCCCACCAAGGCGACGAUCCGUAGCUGGUCUGAGAGGAUGAUCAGCCACACUGGAACUGAGACACGGUCCAGAC
rnacentral:rRNA from 1 species